UGCUGAACAAAGGUUUGACGGCAGUUAG
rnacentral:sRNA from 1 species